AAGCCCAAACCGUUAUUGUUUCGGCAGUAGCGGGGUAGUAGGACUGCAAGCUUGAUGAAAUAAAUGAAAUGGAACACCUUGGAAAAUGUGAUCACAGAGGGUGAUAAUCCCGUACAUGCAAGUUUAUGAAUCAUAGCAGACUCCUGAGUAAGUCGGGACACGUGUAAUCCUGACCGAAUCCGCCGGGACCAUCCGGCAAGGCUAAAUACUCCUGAGAGACCGAUAGUGAACCAGUACCGUGAGGGAAAGGUGAAAAGCACUUCGAACAGAAGAGUGAAAUAGUCCCUGAACCCAUACGCCUACAAGCUGUCGGAGCCGCUUCGUGCGGUGACGGCGUGCCUUUUGCAUAAUGAGCCUACGAGUUACUCAUCACCAGCGAGGUUAAGUACUUCAGGUACGUAAGCCGAAGCGAAAGCGAGUCUGAAUAGGGCGUCAAGUUGGUGGUGGUAGACGCGAAACCUAGUGAUCUACCCAUGGGCAGGGUGAAGGUUUGGUAACACAAACUGGAGGCCCGAACCGGUAAACGUUGAAAAGUUUUCGGAUGACCUGUGGGUAGGGGUGAAAGGCCAAUCAAACUGGGAAAUAGCUCGUACUCUCCGAAAUGCAUUUAGGUGCAGCCUCUGUUGUUUUGUUCUAGAGGUAGAGCUACUGAUUGGAUGCGAGGGCUUCACCGCCUAUCAAAUCCGGCCAAACUCCGAAUGCUAGAACAUGAAGACAGGGAGUGAGCCAGCGGGUGCUAAGGUCCGUUGACGAAAGAGGGAGAACUCAGACCAUCAGCUAAGGUCCCCAAUUGUAUGCUAAGUUGGAAUUAAAACGGGGUGGGACUGCUUAGACAGCUAGGAUGUUGGCUUGGAAGCAGCCAUUCAUUUAAAGAGUGCGUAACAGCUCACUAGUCGAGCGGUCCUGCAUGGAUAAUACGCGGGCAUAAGCAUAUAACCGAAGCUAUGGGAUUGUAGAUGAUACAAUCGGUAGGAGAGCAUUCCAUUCAGCAUAGAAGCAGUACCGUGAGGUAUUGUGGAGCGGAUGGAAAAGCAAAUGUAGGCAUAAGUAACGAUAAUGCGGGUGAGAACCCCGCACGCCGAAAGAUCAAGGAUUCCCCGGCAAUGUCAAUCAUCCGGGGGUAAGUCGGAUCCUAAGGGUAAGCCGAGUGGCGAUCCCGAUGGCAAACAGGUUAAUAUUCCUGUACUGAUCAUAACUGCGAUGCAGCGACGCAGAGGUGACACUGCUGCGUACUGACGGAAUAGUACGUUGAAACCCGUAUUCUUUGAUACCGGUAGUGAAGCACGCCGGUAGAGAUGAAAGGUGAUAGUACCGCAAUGCUUCGGUUGCGCGGAUAAUGCAGGUAAGCUGACUGCCAAGAAAACCUGCUAAGCUUCAGGUAAUGAUCAUCCGUACUGUAAACGGACACACGUGAUCAGGUAGAAAAUACUAAGGCGUCGAGAGAUUCAUGGUUAAGGAACUAGGCAAAAUGGUCCUGUAACUUCGGGAUAAAGGACGCUCUUGUGAAAGAGCCGCAGAUAAUAGGCCCAGGCGACUGUUUACCAAAAACACAUGGCUAUGCUAAUUCGCAAGAAGAUGUAUAUGGCCUGACACCUGCCCGGUGCCGGAAGGUUAAGAGGAGAGCUCAGAGGUAACUCGAAGGUUUGAAUUGAAGCCCCGGUAAACGGCGGCCGUAACUAUAACGGUCCUAAGGUAGCGAAAUUCCUUGUCGGGUAAGUUCCGACCUGCACGAAUGGUGUAACGAUCUGGGUACUGUCUCAACCAUGAGCUCGGUGAAAUUGUAGUUCCGGUGAAGAUGCCGGAUACCCGCAACGGGACGGAAAGACCCCGUGAACCUUUACUGCAGCUUUGCAUUGAUUUUGGGUAACAGAUGUGUAGGAUAGGUCGGAGGCUUUGAUGCUGCGUCGUCAGGCGUAGAGUAGCCGUCGUUGAAAUACGACCCUUUUGUUAUCUGAGGUCUAAUCCCGUUAGGGAGACAUUGCAUGGUGGGUAGUUUGACUGGGGUGGUCGCCUCCAAAAGUGUAACGGAGGCUUCUCAAGGUACCCUCAAGGCGUUUGGUAAUCGUCUGCAGAGUGCAAUGGCAUAAGGGUGCUUGACUGUGAGACCGACACGUCGAUCAGGUUGGAAACAAGAGCAUAGUGAUCCGGUGGUUCCGCAUGGAAGGGCCAUCG
rnacentral:rRNA from 1 species